AGGAUGAACGCUGGCGGCGUGCUUAACACAUGCAAGUCGAACGAUGAAGCCGGAGCUUGCUCUGGUGGAUUAGUGGCGAACGGGUGAGUAACACGUGAGUAACCUGCCCUUGACUCUGGGAUAAGCGUUGGAAACGACGUCUAAUACCGGAUACGACGCGCGAAGGCAUCUUCUGCGCGUGGAAAGAUUUCGGCAAGGAUGGACUCGCGGCCUAUCAGCUAGUUGGUGAGGUAACGGCCCACCAAGGCGACGACGGGUAGCCGGCCUGAGAGGGUGACCGGCCACACUGGGACUGAGACACGGCCCAGACUCCUACGGGAGGCAGCAGUGGGAAUAUUGCACAAUGGGCGCAAGCCUGAUGCAGCAACGCCGCGUGGAGGGACGACGGCCGUUCGGUUGUAAACCUCUUACGUAGGUAAGGAAGAAGACGAAAGUGACGGUACC
rnacentral:rRNA from 1 species